rnacentral:rRNA from 1 species
AUACGUAGGUGACAAGCGUUAUCCGGUUUUACUGGGCGUAAAGGGCGUGUAGGCGGUCUUGCAAGUCAGAAUUGAAAUUCCUGAGCUCAACUCGGGCGCUGCUUCUGAAACUGCAGGACUUGGGUGCUGGAGGGGAUAGCGGAAUUCCUAGUGGUGCGGUAAAAUUCGCAGAUAUUAGGAAUAACACCGGUGGCGAAGGCGGCUAUCUGGACAGUAACUGACGCGGAGGCGCGAAAGCGUGGGGAGCAAACAGGAUUAGAUCCCCUGGUAGUCCACGCCGUAAACGAUGAAUACUAGGUGUAGGGGGUAUCGACUCCCUCUGUGCCGCAGUUAACACAAUAAGUAUUCCGCCUGGGGAGUACGGCCGCAAGGUUGAAACUCAAAUGAAUUGACGGGG